GUGAAUCAUCAAAUCUUUGAACGCAAAUUGCACUCCCUGGUAUUCCGGGGAGUAUGCCUGUUUGAGGGUCGUUAGAAUAAAUCAUCGAGGCGUCGCUCUUUUUUUUAAGGGUGGUCGUGUCGGCAUUGAGCGGUGUUUCAAAUGUUAAUUCAUGUCAACGUUGUUUGAGAUUCAUCCAUUCGUUU
rnacentral:misc_RNA from 1 species